AGUGAGUGACAAGGAGUUGGUAUGACGGCACAAACAGACUGGGAACCAGGCUAAAUCUAUCCCCCCCCCACUGCAAAGGGGAACUGUUGUGGAGCUAUCACCCAAAGUCAUCAAGCCAAGCGAUCUAUAAGUCAUGUUAAAAUACAAACAGGUCGCUAAGCAACGUGGUUCCUAAACAUACAUGUACAAUAAAAACAGGUCGCUAAGCAACGUGGUUCCUAAACAUACAUGUACAAUAAAAACAGGUCGCUAAGCAACGUGGUU